GGGACAAGCCCAUCGACUGGCUCCUGGACCAUAUUCUGUGGGUGAAAGUCUGCAACCCCGAGAAGGAUGCGAAGCACUGUGACCGGCAGAAGGCCAACCUGCGGAUCCGCUUCAAACCGUCCCUCUUCCAGCACGUGGGCACUCACUCCUCGCUGGCUGGCAAGAUCCAGAAACUGAAGGACAAAGACUUUGGAAAGCAGGCGCUGCGGAAGGAGCACGUGAACCCGCCAGCAGAGCUGAGCACGAGCCUGAAGACAUACCAGCACUUCACCCUGGAGAAAGCCUACCUGCGCGAGGACUUCUUCUGGGCCUUCACCCCUGCCGCGGGGGACUUCAUCCGCUUCCGCUUCUUCCAGCCUCUAAGACUGGAGCGGUUCUUCUUCCGCAGUGGGAACAUCGAGCACCCGGAGGACAAGCUCUUCAACACGUCCGUGGAGGUGCUGCCCUUCGACGUAAGUUCGGCUCCUUCUACAAGGGAGUGGCAGAGGGAGAGGUGGACCCAGCCUUCGGCCCUCUGGAAGCACUGCGCCUCUCGAUCCAGACGGACUCCCCUGUGUGGGUGAUUCUGAGCGAGAUCUUCCUGAAAAAGGCCGACUAAGCUGCGGGCUUCUGAGGGUACCCUGUGGCCAGCCCUGAAGCCCACGUUUCUGGGGGUGUCGUCACUGCCGUCCCCGGAGGGCCAGAUACGGCCCCGCCCGAAGGGUUCUGCCUGGCGUCGGGCUUGGGCCGGCCUGGGGUCCGCCGCUGGCCCGGAGGCCC
rnacentral:sRNA from 1 species